UACGAAGGGGGCUAGUGUUGCUCGGAAUCACUGGGCGUAAAGGGUGCGUAGGCGGGUUUUUAAGUCAGGGGUGAAAUCCUGGAGCUCAACUCCAGAACUGCCUUUGAUACUGAAGAUCUUGAGUCCGGGAGAGGUGAGUGGAACUGCGAGUGUAGAGGUGAAAUUCGUAGAUAUUCGCAAGUACACCAGUGGCGAAGGCGGCUCACUGGCCCGGUACUGACGCUGAGGUGCGAAAGCGUGGGGAGCAAACAGG
rnacentral:rRNA from 1 species